GGGCGAACGGUCUAGUCGAAACUUAGGGAGGACAUCCAUCUAAUGGUAGAAAGAAAGUCCGGACAUCCAUCUAAUGGUAGAAAGAAAGGGAGGACAUCCAAUCUAAUGGUAGAAAGAAAGUCCGGACAUCCAAUGGUAGAAACAACGAACAACGAGGUGGUCCAUCGCAUAUGCUAUGAAGGUACUGCGCCCCUGUAAUGAUUGAUUUUAGCUACUCCGUGGUGGGACCAAUCAUUCUGUGAGCAGCUAUGUGUGCUCUGGCCCAGCAACUACGUCUUCGGUCGUUGACUGAGAACCUACCGUGCUUUAUUGCAGACACCACUCAGAGAUAGAUAGGUCGGGCAAGCUCACAUUAUAUAUGAGGUCGGGCAAGCUUUUCGCUCGAUGUUGAUGAAAAAAAGUAAGGAUGAUAGUGGUCAAUACGGAAUGAAAAGAAACCACGAUACAGAGAAUGACUUCGGGAGGCGGUGGGGUGGACAACCUAAGAACGAGAUAGGGGAGCGAAAGAGCUAAAGAAAGGAUCGGUAUGGCACUAUGAUAUGGUAUGAUAUAAUAUGGUAUGAUAUAAUAUGGUAUGAUAUAGUAUGGUCUGAUAUAAUAUAUGGUAUGAUAUAAUAUGGAUGGUAGACGUACCCACCACAUAUCCAAGGGAGGAACAAACAAACCCAUAUUGAACUAAGUAGUCAAAGGAUGGAGCUAGGGACGGGAGCAGAUGUAGCUAGGUAAGUGAGGAGCGUGGAUCGAAAGAAGACAAGAUAGAG
rnacentral:lncRNA from 1 species